GAUGAACGCUGACAGAAUGCUUAACACAUGCAAGUCUACUUGAACUUCGGUUUGGGUGGCGGACGGGUGAGUAACGCGUAAAGAACUUGCCUCACAGUUAGGGACAACAUUUGGAAACGAAUGCUAAUACCUGAUAUUAUGAUUUUAGGGCAUCCUAGGAUUAUGAAAGCUAUAUGUGCUGUGAGAGAGCUUUGCGUCCCAUUAGCUAGUUGGAGAGGUAACGGCUCACCAAGGCGAUGAUGGGUAGCCGGCCUGAGAGGGUGAACGGCCACAAGGGGACUGAGACACGGCCCUUACUCCUACGGGAGGCAGCAGUGGGGAAUAUUGGACAAUGGACCAAAAGUCUGAUCCAGCAAUUCUGUGUGCACGAUGACGUUUUUCGGAAUGUAAAGUGCUCUCAGUUGGGAAGAAAAAAAUGACGGUACCAACAGAAGAAGAGACGGCUAAAUACGUG
rnacentral:rRNA from 1 species